rnacentral:rRNA from 1 species
UGGGGAAUAUUGGACAAUGGGCGAAAGCCUGAUCCAGCCAUGCCGCGUGUGUGAAGAAGGUCUUCGGAUUGUAAAGCACUUUAAGUUGGGAGGAAGGGCAUUAACCUAAUACGUUAGUGUUUUGACGUUACCGACAGAAUAAGCACCGGCUAACUCUGUGCCAGCAGCCGCGGUAAUACAGAGGGUGCAAGCGUUAAUCGGAAUUACUGGGCGUAAAGCGCGCGUAGGUGGUUUGUUAAGUUGGAUGUGAAAUCCCCGGGCUCAACCUGGGAACUGCAUUCAAAACUGACUGACUAGAGUAUGGUAGAGGGUGGUGGAAUUUCCUGUGUAGCGGUGAAAUGCGUAGAUAUAGGAAGGAACACCAGUGGCGAAGGCGACCACCUGGACUAAUACUGACACUGAGGUGCGAAA